rnacentral:sRNA from 1 species
GGGGGCGUCCUGGCUUCGACGGGGCCCGUCCAACGCACCGGUUGCGCGUCGCGGACGCAGUUGGCCGCGUCAUCAAACUGCAACGCCUUAACUGGCAACCAAAACUACGCUCUGGCUGCGUAACCCGUAGUCAGCGUUCCCCGGAAGCCCCGUCGGUGGCUCGCCGGAUCGAACGUCCCAAUACCGACUGGCUGACGGUCACCGCCCCCGGACCGAAGGCGAGACUUUAGGGAGCUAAGGCCUCGGGUCGGGCGUUCUCACCCAGCCUGCAGGCCCGACAAUUGAAUUGAGAACUACACGCGUAGACGCCGGGCGAAGGGGGUCUCGGACGCGGGUUCGAUUCCCGCCGCCUCCACCA